UGCAGUGUAGCACAGUGGGUAACGAACUGGGCUUGUAACCAAAAGGUCGCAGGUUCGAUUCUGCGGGCGUUGUAC
rnacentral:tRNA from 1 species